GUCUGCACAGUUCAUGAUACGUAUACUAUGUAUAUUUCUAUCGUAUAUCGUAAUAUACACCUAUCGUAUCGUAAAGAGGGGACUUUGUUGAAAAUCCGAAGACACUGGAAACUGUGUUAUGUUUUAGAAUUCCCUUGUUCACUUAUAAAGUUCCAAAACCCUCGAUAUGAACUUGAUCGUACUCGGACAUCGCAACGCAAAAUAUGAUCGCGGUAACAUCCUCGAAGCAAUGGAUCCAUUUCUUACGUUCGCUUCUUUGGCCGCCCACGUCGAACAAUCUGUAAAGAAGCAACGGUAUACCGAUGAACAAGGGUUUAGAAAUUCAUUGGAUAAUUAAUUAACAAAUUGAAAUAUGUCAAUCUGAUUUUAUUGAUACUCCUAUCCUCCUAUUACAUUUUUAUAGGAAAUAACAUUGAAAAACAAUAUUACAUUUAUCUAAAUGUAGUUCUUUUGAAUUUUACUAGAAAGAGAAUAAUCAAUACACACACACACACACACACAAAAUUGUGCUCAGAGACAAUGGGAAAAUAACACGAUAAUACAAAUUUUCAGUUUUCUAAUUGUGAAGCACAAAAUAAAUUGUCAGUUUUAAUUAUAUAAUAUUUGUGUAAAUGUAAAUUAUAUUUCUAUAUAAAUACAUAAUUAUAUGUAAAUAAUGCUAAUAUACCAUUAAGAGAGCUAAAUGCAAAUGUAAAUUAUACACCUAUGUAAAUAGUUAUAAAUAAGUGUGAAAUAUAUCUACAAAGAAACAUUUCUUAAAGUGACAUUAAUUGAAAGAAGGAAUGCAUGUGCUCAGUUUCUUAAAUUGUCAUCCCAAUGAUUCAUGCUCAAUCAUUCAUAAGUCAUUGCUCUCUCCCUUUAGCCUGCCCCUCUCUCUCCUGCCUCUUUGCUCAAUUUCUUUUUUUAACCACUGAGAUCAAUGUUAACAAUAUUCCCCGUGGCAAUAUGUUCCUUGAUUUUUAAUGUUGUUGCCAUGCCAGAUUCUCUAAAUAUUUUUAUCUAAAGAUUAUAUUACUACAGUGUACCGUUAUUUAUAAUUAAUUUAAUUGAUUAAAAGGAUUAAAUUACUAGUAAAUAUGUAGAUAUUUCAUAUCUAAAAUUUGUGUACAUCAUGUAUUACAUUACAUUAAAAAGAAUAAACAAAAUUGGAAGAUAGGAAUAAUCAUUCGAUUGCGGAAUAGAAAACAAUCUCCUGUCUGUUGUCGGUGCACCGUAAAAUCUCCAAAAAGAUAACAUUUUUUUCGUAUCAGUGGUGUUGACAAAGUUACACCUGUAUCCACCUUUGACCGGUAAGGAUUAGAUCAAAACGGGUCAGUCUUUCACUUUCUUGUCCUUGUUUCUUUCUAUUAUAUCCAUUUUCGUAUUAGAUAAUCGUAUCAAGUAUAUCCUUCUGUUAAAUUAAUUAUUCUUUACAAUACUCUAUUUAAAAGUUCAUUUUCCUCCAUUGUACGAUUUCAAUGCCAUCUGGUGGCGAUGAGAGGGCACUUUAAUAUGACAUAGUUGAAAAGGAGAAUAACCUGUCAGGUCCAAAGAUAUGUGUCCUUUAAAAAUAGACGACAAGUUCAUGAAGUUUUGCAGAAGAUCAAUAACAUGGAUAAUGCUAUGUUGAACACGCAUGCCUUUGUUCAUGGGACACCAUGAAUGGGUCCAUUGACUGCGAAACAAGAUUUCAAACACGUUCGACCAGCCGCUGGUCUUUCGACGCUGAAAUGACGGAUUUUUCGAGGGAAAGAAGUGCGCACGGGCGGAAGCUGGGGCCCGGAAAUGACGUGGCACACUGUGGCAGCGGAACUUGUUUUCCUGCUUAUGGGUGGCGAGUCUCUCCCCCUGUUUUAAAAAGCUCUUUCAUCCCGAACCCGUUCAGUCUACUACGUACUACUUUUGUCGAUCGUCUGGAACCGGUCGGAUUCUACUUUGUUCGAAUCUGGCACACAGCGAAACGACAUGUCUCAACAUCGUAAACAACUCUGACGACAUCUUCAGAAUGUCGAAGCUCAACUAUCGUGAAUUAUCAACUUUCGAAUUCUUGUUCCGUUCUCACAAUUACAGGAUACAGCGACGUACUUUAGAUACAACGAAGUGGCUGAAAUACAGACCUUUCUAAUAAAAGCAAAGUACGAAGUAAAAGUAACUAUAUUUCAGUAUAUAUGUAGUAUCUAGCGAAUGAGUUAAAGAUAUUGUCAUCUGUAACGCCUUGCCUGGAACACCCUCGCGUGUUCUACUAUGGGGUAUACUAUUGCCUCUUCUUCUAUCUCGACCUUAAAACAGAGGACGAUAUAGAAGAGUAGGAGGGUGCAACGUUUGCUGGGCGGGAACGUGUUUCACGCGUUUAACGCGAUAAGGCAUUUACUAUCUGGCUGCGAGCUUUCGUAGUUGACACUUGGAGACUUGGAGACUUUGAAGUUCGAAGAACCGUGACAUCUCAUUGCAGAAAAAGGAACCGCAAUCGUCACUACGGCCGUUACUUCGGUUUAGUACCGGAGAUAUGGAGGUGAUGAUAUAUCCAUAUGGUAUAAAGAGUGAAAUUCAACCGCGCAGUUGUACGAUACGAGGUUACAGUAGGUACAAUUCUCUAUGGAAUAAAGUUUAAUGUUCGAUAAUAAUUAAUUACGAAUAAUAACUCAAUAUUAAUGAAUUAAUUGUAUUAUUAGUUUAUUAGAUGUAUUUUACUUAUACGACUAUGAUAUAGUGGCGUUUGCUUGGUAAUAAAUUUCCUUAGUUUGAACGAUAUUAGCUUUCUGUAAAAUUAAAAUACAUUUCAAAACGAAUAUAUUAUAAAUUCGUAUCGGCUACAAUAAUUUCGAAUAAUUUUACGAGGAAAUAUAGAGAAAUAGUAUAGAAAAUUUAGCAAAGGAAAUCAUAAUUGCGAUAUGCAUGUUUAAAACAAAAAAAAUAUUGAAAUAGGCAGCCUUUAAGGCGCAUCGUCAGAUUUACCAACGCAGCAAAUAAAUUACUCAUCGCGUUGAAAAGUUAUUGAGCAUGCAAACGAACUCUAGGUUGAUAACGUCGUUUGCAAUUAGCGACGUUAGAACGGCAACGCGUAUCGACGCGUACGAAUGCAUCCAUUUUUCAGCCAAUUUUGCCCGGUUAUCGCUAUUCGAUAAAGUUCAAAUAUUCGACGCAUAAUCGUAAAAAUAUGCAAUUUCGUACGUAGGACAUAACAAUAAAGCGAAGCCGAAUGCUGAUGAUGUAAGUUGCCAGAUUAAUCACUUAACCUGUAACCUGCGAUAUAAUUAAUUAUUCAACAGUACAUACAUACGUAUCACGCGUCGUUGAAAAUAUAUUUAUUUUGGAGAUAAUGUGUUCUGAUUGUUAUUCUACAGCGCACGGUGGUUUAUUGUUAUAAGAUUAAACAAUGCUAAUUUACUAUUAUGAGCAAGUAAAUUAGAAUUGUCCCGCGCUAUUGUAUUAUUUAUACUAGAUUUUAUUGUUUCCAAUAUGAUGGAAAAUUUCAAGCAAUUAACAUAUGCAUUGUUACAACGAAGUAUAGUACCGCACGUAUUAUAUUUCCAUACAAUUAAAUAACAAUUAAAUAACAAUUAAAUAACAAUAAAACGACCUGUCGUGUAUUAUAGAAAAUAUCAAUCCAUGUUUUAAACUGUGCUCUAAAAAAUUCAUAUUUUUUUUAUAUAUAAAAGGAAUUGAAACUGGACUAUUUCUUACCAGUUGUUGGUGUUGGCAGAGCUUUUAAUACAUACGCGAGACAUCUGCUGUUUUUGACUCGAAGAGAGAUUCUUUAAUCGCUCGACGUUCUCACCAAUGUGUUUUUUUAAAGUAAAGAAAUCUCCAUUUGCCAACUUUAACCUAUGUUUGCUCUGUUUGCUUGUCUUAAAUUCGAUUCCAUUUUUUAUAUUAUUAUAUAUUAGUAAUUAUAUAUAAUUGCUAUACACAUUGUAUAACCUAACAUUAUUAAUAAUACUCUUUCACUAUUCUUACAAUUCGAGGAUUUAAGAAAAGCGAGGAUUUAAGUAGCUGUAUAGACUAAGAUUACUAACAAUAUUCUUUCACUAUCCCCGUAAUUGAAUGAUUUAUAAACGAGGCUAGUGGAAAUAUGAAAGAAAUGAACAUAACCUAACUAUAUAUGUAUUAAGACAAAAAAGAAAAGAUUCGAUUCUCGUGUGGAAGAGGGGUGGAGCGCGUAAUCGAGGCGUAACUCAUUCAGAAUCACAGUAUCAAUAAUAAAUCGUGGACGUCUUUCGGUUCGUAGUUGGCGCUGCCGGCGAUAUUUUCUUUCGAGCCAUCAAAGAAAACACGUCUUUCGCCUGACGAUCCGUCACAUAAAAGCAUCUUUUCGGAAGUUUCGAAAAGGGGACGAGGCCUCGGCUUGAAGGCAAACGUUUAAACGUUGUAACAUCGGUAAUGUCGCGUUUCACCAUCCUUCUCUAUUUCUUUAUCCCCCGCCUGCCAAACCGCUUUCUCAGUCUCUAACCUCUGUGGCGCAUGCUUUCCAGAAUUUCAACUCAAGGAUUUCGUUUUCAAGGAAGAACUACUUCUCUGUUGUGAACGAAAGCGAAAAAAUGUUCGAUCCAAAUGCAGGUUUCCCUUCCCGACACUCUAUAUGCUGCAUUGAUAUUGAGAUUUUUCAGCGAAUUACAGGAUUAGCGUCUUCCCCAUUACUUUUAACGUGUUCAUUGCUACACAAAUUUUCUAUAUUCUGCCCUGGAGAUUUGCCCAAUUUGCCCAAUUGAAAUAUGCUAUACCGUACCAAUUUUAUUUUUUACAAAAUAUCAUGUGACAUUUGCGCGAUUUUAUUUCUUGACAAUAUUAUCUAAUGCCAUUCACAAUAUUUAAAAUUUCCUCGUCCAUGAAAUUUACUUUAUUUUAAUCAUUCUAAGAAAUUUAAUGAUGCGUAUCACCGAUGAUCACCGUGGGCAGCCGACGUGUUAACAACUUCGGAUGGCUUUCAUCAGACACAUUCACGUACAGCCAUCAUGAUGCACUUCGUGCACCAUUUCUAAUCGAUAAAAUAAAUCAAUUUCUUUCUUUGAAGAUUUUAAGAAAAAUGCAGAGUAUCUUCUACUUCCAGAAAAUUCAUGUUUAUUUAUUUUCGCGAAACAGAUAAGAUAAAAUAAGAAGAAAGUUUUCAAUUUUGUUGAAAUAGCGUACAUAAGAUAUAAGCAGCUAUGCUACGUUAUUAUUUCUUUUCAAGGAAAAAAAUUCCUCACUGCGCAAAAAAACAAAACUUUGCAAC